GAUGAACGCUGGCGGCGUGCCUAAUACAUGCAAGUCGAGCGAACAGACGAGGAGCUUGCUCCUCUGACGUUAGCGGCGGACGGGUGAGUAACACGUGGAUAACCUACCUAUAAGACUGGGAUAACUUCGGGAAACCGGAGCUAAUACCGGAUAAUAUAUUGAACCGCAUGGUUCAAUAGUGAAAGACGGUUUUGCUGUCACUUAUAGAUGGAUCCGCGCCGCAUUAGCUAGUUGGUAAGGUAACGGCUUACCAAGGCAACGAUGCGUAGCCGACCUGAGAGAGUGAUCGCCGCCACAGGGGCAGAGACACGCGCCACAGUCCCACAAGGGGCGGAGGAGGGGAGUAUUCCGCGAUGGGCGCGAACGCGAGGGAGCGAAGCGCCGCGUGUGAUGAAAAUGUUCGGGGAGUGUAAAACUCUGUUAUGAGAAAAAAAAAAGUGUGAAAGUAUAUACACGCGUCGACAGUAUACAUACAGAAAAAGCCAGGUAAAUCCAUG
rnacentral:rRNA from 1 species